CUCUUGGUUCCACCUCCAUCACUCUUCCUCCAUCACUCUCUCCUCCUGUUCUCUCUGUGUUGUCAUCUGUUGGAUCAGCCUGUGUUGCGGUUCUACUGGUGUUACUGGUUCUGCUGGUAAGACGAUGUGUUCACAGUAAACCUGCAGAAGGACAAGAAAACACUUUAGAAAAUGAAGUCAUUGAUGACAUCAUAUACAGUGAGAUCAAAACAUCACACUGUCCGCAGCAGCCAAUCAGACAAAGCAGAGACUUUAACCGAGAGCCCAACGUUGUCUACUCUUCAAUGAAGUAGUCCACGGGUCCAACCGCUGGUGUCUAACUGGUCCCCCCAGCACCACAGACACAGGAUAUGUACAUGCUAAAUAGAUUUGUAUGCAGAUUUGUGUGUAUUUUGCGUAAUGUCUUAUCUUUUAUCUGCGUUUUUAAAGUGUAUUUUGCUGCAAAAUCAACAGUAUGGUUACAAAUGUUUUUAAGUCCUCAGUAAGAUCACUGUUAUUUAUAUUUUAUUCAUGUUUGUUACAUCUUGAUCUUGUUGCUGAAGUAGCAAUUUAGUUCCUCUACAAGA